GCUUGCAUGAAGCCGGAAUCGCUAGUAAUCGCGGAUCAGCAUGCCGCGGUGAAUACGUUCCUGGGCCUUGUACACACCGCCCGUCACACCACGAGAGUUUGUAACACCCGAAGUCGGUGAGGUAACCUUUUGGAGCCAGCCGCCGAAGGUGGGACAGAUGAUUGGGGUGAAGUCGUAACAAGGUAA
rnacentral:rRNA from 1 species